AUGGAAGUGGACUUCUGCAUUCUGAAUUCUAAGGAGAGAAAAAGGGUCAUCAAAAUAGGAUAUAGACUCCCAGAUCGAAGGAACUGCAAGAGAGGGAUCACCAGUGGUGGGCAGGUCUCCAAAAACAUUACAAAAUCACUUAUGAUAGUGUCAGCUUUAAAUAAAUACUGGCGCCAGAGGAGUGAAAAGCUGGCUUAGAACAAGAUCCACUCAAUGCGGUGCUGUGAAGGGUCCUGUGAUCAUCAAGUGCCCCAACUCUGGACUAAAUAGAGGCUUACUGAACCAAUGCAGAAAUGCCAAGUAGCUUUUUCAUACAUCAAUUAAGAAAAGAUGCAGAGAACAAUGAGCCAUUCUAUCCUGGGACAAAGAGUGUGCCAGCUAAUGAUGAAACCCACCUUAUCCACGUCGCUCCAGCUAAGAACAGCACUAAAAUAAUUUCAAACAGGAGCCCUCUGCUAAGUAGUCCGGGGUAAACUGGGUGAAUGACACUCCUGCCUCAGUUCAAAUCCCUUUUAUAAAUAAAACAGAGAGUCAUCUGGGGUGCCUCACUACUCUAUCUGCCUGUGCUGUUGCCUGAAGGAUCCUAGGCCAUUACUUGACAUUGCCUGCCACUGUGUGGUUCCACUCCAGGUUUCUGAGGCCUUCUUGGCAUGCAGGUGUUGACCGCACAGAUCCCCCAACUACAGAAGGCAUGUCUUUGGCCUUCAACACUUCCCCUGCUUACAUUUCAGAUGUUCCAGAGUAACACUGAGGUUAAAGUGGUGGAGCUUUCUUGCCCUGACCAGGCAGGCCACCCUUCCAGCACCUCCACGUAUUUACCAACCUGGAAGUUCUCUGAAUCUCAUCAAUGAGGAUUUUUAUGGAGGCUUCAUUACACCGGCAUCACUGAGUAAAUCACUGGUCAUUUGUAGUUGAUUCAACCACCAGCCCUUCUCUCCUCUCCUCCCUGCAGGUCAGGAGAGGGGGCUGAAAGUUCCAACCCUGUAGUCACAAGGUUGGUUCCUAUGGUCAAUCAGCCCUCAUCCUGUUCUCAUCUAGGGGAUUUCCAAA